GCCUGGUGGCGUAACUGGUAACGCGCGCAUUCGUGUUUUCCUCGAUAUGACAUUGCGAGACCCUCGUUCGAUUCGAGGUCAGGCG